rnacentral:rRNA from 1 species
UACGUAGGGUGCGAGCGUUAAUCGGAAUUACUGGGCGUAAAGCGCGCGUAGGCGGCUUUGUAAGUUAGAGGUGAAAGCCCGGGGCUCAACCCCGGAACUGCCUUUAAGACUGCAUCGCUUGAAUCCAGGAGAGGUGAGUGGAAUUCCGAGUGUAGAGGUGAAAUUCGUAGAUAUUCGGAAGAACACCAGUGGCGAAGGCGGCUCACUGGACUGGUAUUGACGCUGAUGUGCGAAAGCGUGGGGAGCAAACAGG